CGCGGCCUAUCAGCUUGUUGGUGGGGUGAUGGCCUACCAAGGCGACGACGGGUAGCCGGCCUGAGAGGGUGUCCGGCCACACUGGGACUGAGAUACGGCCCAGACUCCUACGGGAGGCAGCAGUGGGGAAUAUUGCACAAUGGGCGCAAGCCUGAUGCAGCGACGCCGCGUGGGGGAUGACGGCCUUCGGGUUGUAAACCCCUUUCAGCACAGACGAAGCGCAAGUGACGGUAUGUGCAGAAGAAGCACCGGCCAACUACGUGCCAGCAGCCGCGGUAAUACGUAGGGUGCGAGCGUUGUCCGGAAUUACUGGGCGUAAAGAGCUCGUAGGUGGUUUGUCGCGUUGUUCGUGAAAACUCACAGCUCAACUGUGGGCGUGCGGGCGAUACGGGCAGACUGGAGUACUGCAGGGGAGACUGGAAUUCCUGGUGUAGCGGUGGAAUGCGCAGAUAUCAGGAGGAACACCGGUGGCGAAGGCGGGUCUCUGGGCAGUAACUGACGCUGAGGAGCGAAAGCGUGGGGAGCGAACAGGAUUAGAUACCCUGGUAGUCCGCGCCGUAAACGGCGGGUACUAGGUGUGGGUUUCCUUCCUUGGGAUCCGUGCCGUAGCUAACGCAUUAAGUACCCCGCCUGGGGAGUACGG
rnacentral:rRNA from 1 species